rnacentral:rRNA from 1 species
AAAAAGAACCUGAAACCGUGUACGUACAAGCAGUGGGUGCACAGGUUUACCUGUGUGACUGCGUACCUUUUGUAUAAUGGGUCAGCGACUUAUAUUCUGUAGCAAGGUUAACCGUAUAGGGGAGCCGUAGGGAAACCGAGUCUUAACCGGGCGUUAAGUUGCAGGGAAUAGACCCGAAACCCGGUGAUCUAGCCAUGGGUAGGUUGAAGGUUGGGUAACACUAACUGGAGGACAGAACCGAC